UACGUAGGGUGCGAGCGUUGUCCGGAAUUACGUGGGCGUAAAGAGCUCGUAGGUGGUUUGUCGCGUUGUCCGUGAAAACCUCACAACUCAAUUGUGGGCGUGCGGGCGAUACGGGCAGACUGGAGUACUGCAGGGGAGACUGGAAUUCCUGGUGUAGCGGUGGAAUGCGCAGAUAUCAGGAGGAACACCGGUGGCGAAGGCGGGCUCUGGGCCAGUACGAUGCGCUGAGGAGCGAAAGCGUGGGGAGCGAACAGGAUUAGAACCUACCGUACGAGUCCAAG
rnacentral:rRNA from 1 species